rnacentral:rRNA from 1 species
CGCGUAGGCGGUGCGGUAAGUCACCUGUGAAACCUCCGGGCUCAACUCGGAGCCUGCAGGCGAAACUGCCGUGCUGGAGUGUGGGAGGGGUGCGUGGAAUUCCCGGUGUAGCAGUGAAAUGCGUAGAUAUCGGGAGGAACACCUGUGGCGAAAGCGGCGCACUGGACCACAACUGACGCUGAGGCGCGAAAGCUAGGGGAGCAAACAGGAUUAGAUACCCUGGUAGUCCUAGCCCUAAACGAUGGAUGCUUGGUGUAGCCGGUACCCAACCCGGCUGUGCCGUAGCUAACGCGAUAAGCAUCCCGCCUGGGGAGUACGGUCGCAAGGCUGAA